UGUGGGUUGUUUCCACCCUUAGGCAGAUGUGAAUAAUGCUGCUGUGAACUAGAGGUAGAGUGUCUGCCUGAGUCCCUGCUUCUAGUUCUUUUCUUUGGGGUAUUAACAUGUAUUAUAAUGAGCUAAACUAGAGGAAGGAUCUGUCUGCUGUUGAAGACUCUAAGUUCCCUUUUAUGGGAGCCAGUAAAGUUCCUGUAAGUGACCAGCCUUCCAAGAACCCCCGGAAGAGACUCCCAUCUCUGAGCAGUGGAUUUGGCUAGUGAAUCCCAAACCUGGCUCUGUGUUAGAAUCACACAGCCAGCAUCCCAAAACAUCGGGGGCCCAGGAAUCCGGGGGAUACCACACCAACCAACCGGUUAAGCCAAGGGUCACUGAUAAUGAGACAUUAUGACAUCAUGUGACAUCAUCAACAUAGCAUUCCUGCUCAAAAUGCUCAGACUGAAUCUAACCAUGAGGAAACAGACAUCCAAAUUGAAGGCCCUUCUGUGAAACAGCAAAAAUGUCAAGUAUAUAUUUUCCACUGUAUAUGGCUUAUAUAAAAUGACUCCACUGAGCACAAGUACUCUUCCUCAGAGCAGCAGUACAAUGUGGUGGCUUCUUCAUCCAUAAAAUCCAGUAACUACAGCCCAGUUGGUAGUUGAGAAGACUUCACGAAAUAAUCCAUGUACAUUGUUUAAGCUGUGGAACGAAGAGGGGCAAUCUGAUCGUAAGGAGAGAAAUAAAGCGAAAGACUCCAGUCUCCAGCACUGCUCUGUGGUCCUAGAAGGGGUGGGCUCGUGUGAUUCGAGUUCAAAAGAGAAUGCUGCCCACCUAAGUGUCAAUUAUCAGCAAGAAUAACUGCUCACAACUAUUUCAAGGAAGGUGUUAACAGACUGCCAAAAAAAAAAAAAAUGGCUCUGAUUCUCGCUCCACCUGUGUCUGUGCCUUUGGCAAUGGAACCCUUUGUAACCCGUCCCAUCUAGAGGAUCUCUACUCAGCCAACCAUGUGCUAAAACCUGGGUGAGCGCCCAGGAAAGCGAGGAGACCACGUAGGGCAGAGACAAGCCGAACAAGCAGACACCACCCUGAGGCUUUCAGACCACCCAGCUAACACACGACCAGGCCCGGCUACGGCCAGAACUGCCCAGAAAAGCUCAGCCGCAAAAUUGUCAGCUACAGAAACAGCUUUUGUUUUAACCCACAAGUUUUGAGAUGCUUAGGAUGCACCUGCCCUCAUCGGGGGACUUCCUGCUACCGGCAGCUGGAAGAACCUGCGAGAGGCGGAGUGUUUCCAUGCCUCGGUGGUGGCGUCCACCUCCUGACUCACCGUGUGGCUGCUCAGAACCUUCCAAGAUGGACAGAACCUUCCAUCCGGGCAGGAUACGUAAUUAGCGUGUAGGCCUUAGCAAGGUACUCAGAAGGCUCUGUUAGCAGGUCCGAUUUCAUCAUCCUAAAUUAGAGCCUUGACCUCUCAGUAACCUUCUAUUCACAUGUGUCCAUCUACACGGUCACAAUGCCAUUUGACAAGACAGGGUUUGCACUCAGAGAAAGACAGACAUGAGUGACGUGGCAUGCACUGGCAUCGCCAGCAUCUAGAUUGCUAGGCAGAUCUGAAACAUGUCAUUUUUCUUUUUAACUAACUCCCUAUAGACACUUUUUACCCAACCCAGUUCAAGCAAGUACAUUCCUUAGCAAGUGUGGAGCUGCGAAGGGGAAAGGGUUCACUGGGGACACAGGCACCGGGACACUGGCCUACUCCUGUGACACAUUCACUGUCCCCUCCCUUGUGCAGAGACUACAUCUGAGUGGUGAUGGUGGAGGGCACUUGAGGGGAAGAGCACUGGGUGUUGUAUGGAAAACAA